ensembl:lncRNA
GAGUUAUAGCCCCAAACGCGUAUUCCUUGGUAUAGCGCCACCUAGUGGCCGGCGUGCCUGGAUUUUGUCGUCUGCCUAGAACUCAGGGACCUGGAUCUAGUCAUGCAAUUGGCGUGUCGUCACCAUUUACGGUUUGGGCUGUGGGCCCACUUCUAGGGGGGAAUAAUAAUAAUAAAAAAAAUCCUUACAAAAACAAUAGGGAUCCAACCUGUUGGCUUGGACCCCUAACUAGAACUGCAAGCAGUUAUGCAGGGGUCCAAGAAGUGUGCAUUUCGCCGGCACAACGCAACAAGAAAUGUGCGUUUUGCCGGCACAACGUGAAGCAUGUGUUCAAAACGCUACCCUGAACCUGUGGAUACAAAGGAUUUGACUGUGGUAGGAGUAGCGAGAAGCCAGUGUAGCGUUUUCGCGGCGAAAUUUUGUAGAAGAUAUACAAUUUCCUCGUUUAUUGCGCCCCCUAAUGGCGAAAUUUUCCGAAUUUUUUAUCGAACGACAUUAAGGUUAACACCAACAUGUGUGUAAAAUUUGGACUCGAUCCGAUGUCUAAUUUUGGAUUUCUUUGGAUUUUUGAUAUUCCACGUCUAAUUUAGCUCAUAAACCAAUAUUCAAAACGCUACCGUUUCGUCGUCGAAGGUCCAAUCAAAAAAGUGUCUAUCAUUUCUAUGCGUGUGCGUCUGAAGAUGCCGUGUGCAAAGUUUGGUAUUGAUUAGUCAAGAAAUGUGGGAGGAGUAGCGAAAAUACAGUUUUGCGGUUUUCGCGAUUUUGCGAAAAAAAAUUCUAGACGCAAAUGGGCGUGGCCUAGGUCAAAAGAUGCAGCAGACUCCAGUGAAUCUGUGUGUAUAAGGUUUUGAAUGUGGGAGGUUCGGUGUGGGAGUUAUAGCCCCAAACGCGUAUUCCUUGGUAUAGCGCCACCUAGUGGCCGGCAUGUCUGGAUUUUGUCGUCUGCAUAGUGUUCACGGACCUGGAUCUAGUCAUGCAAUUGGCGUGUGUGCACCAUUUACGGUUUGGGCUGUAGUACCACUUCUAGGGGGGAAAAAUAAUAAAAAAAAUCCUUACAAAAACAAUAGGGAUCCAACCUGUUGGCUUGGACCCCUAAUAAACUAGAACUGCAAGCAGUUAUGCAGGGGUCCAAGAAGUGUGCAUUUCGCCGGCACAACGCGACAAGAAAUGUGCGUUUCGCCGGCACAACGCGAAGCAAGUAUUCAAAACGCUACCGUGAACAACAUGUGGAUAUAAAGGUUUUGACUGUGGGAGCUUCGGUGUGGGAGUUCUAGCCUAAAACGCGUUUUCAGAACAUUCCAUGGCCAAAUAGGAGAUAGACAUUGUCGUCGUUUUUUGGCGCCGCCUUGUGGCGAAAUUUUCCAAAGAGAAUUAUCCUUUGCCAAAUAACUCCCGCCCACAUUAAUAAUUCUUGGCCAUAUUUUCUAUAUAGGCUCGGGAUUGCCCCUUGAUGGUUUCCCUUGAGUUUGAAGAACAUUCCUUUGGCCAAUUAGAAGAUAUACAAAUUCCUCGUUUAUUCCGCCCCCUUAUGGCGAAAAUUUCCGAAUUUUUUAUCGAACGCCAUUAAGGGUAGCACCGACAUGUGUCUAAAAUUUGGACUUGAUCCGAUGUCUAAUUUUGGUAUUUUCUGAAUUUUUGCGUAUCGACGUAAAACGUAGCUAAUAAAGCAAUAUUCAAAACGCUACCGUUUCGUAGUCGAAGGUCGGAUCAAAAAAGUAUAUAGUUUUUCUUUUCGUGUGCGUCUGACGAUGUCGUGUGCAAAGUUUGGUGUCGAUUGGUCAAGAAAUGUGGGCGGAGUAGGGAAAAAACAGUUUUGCGGUUUUCGCGAUUUUGCGAAAAAAAAUUAUAGACGCAAAUGGGCGUGGCCUAUGCCAAAAGAUGCAUCAGACUCCAGUGAAUCUGUGUGUUCAAGGUUUUGAAUGUGGGAGGUUCGGUGUGGGAGUUAUAGCCCCAAACGCGAUUUUCUUGUUAUAGCGCCACCUAGUGGCCGGCAGGUCUGGAUUUUGUCGUCUGCUUAGUCCGAACAGAUCUGGACCUAGUC